rnacentral:rRNA from 1 species
GUGGGGAAUAUUGCACAAUGGAGGAAACUCUGAUGCAGCGACGCCGCGUGAGUGAAGAAGUAGUUCGCUAUGUAAAGCUCUAUCAGCAGGGAAGAUAGUGACGGUACCUGACUAAGAAGCUCCGGCUAAAUACGUGCCAGCAGCCGCGGUAAUACGUAUGGAGCAAGCGUUAUCCGGAUUUACUGGGUGUAAAGGGAGCGUAGGUGGCCAGGCAAGUCAGAAGUGAAAGCCCGGGGCUCAACCCCGGGACUGCUUUUGAAACUGCAGGGCUAGAGUGCAGGAGGGGCAAGUGGAAUUCCUAGUGUAGCGGUGAAAUGCGUAGAUAUUAGGAGGAACACCAGUGGCGAAGGCGGCUUGCUGGACUGUAACUGACACUGAGGCUCGAAAGCGUGGGGAGCAAACAGGA